rnacentral:lncRNA from 1 species
UAUUAGUGUCUAGAACAAACAUAUGACAGUUUGACCACAAAACCACAAACUAAACUAAAGACGAAUAGCAAGUUUAAAAGUGAAAACAUAUCACUUUAUAUUAUAAGAACAAAUUUAAGUAGCAAAUAAAAAUAGGAAUCCAUCAGCAAUUGACAAAAAACUCAUCUGAUUGAAAGAUUUUUUAACCAUUCAUUAGAACCACUAAUUGCUAUCUAUUGUAACAACACCAACAAUGGCAUCUCUUAUUUCUCGAGCUCAUAAAUUAGUGAUAUUGAAUGAUAAAUUGCAGGAAAAAAACAUAACAGAACCACAAACAUUUAACACUGAAAUGAAACUUAGGAGAUUCAAAAAGAGAUUAAAAAAGUGAGGCUUGCUAACUUAGGGGAAUAAUAAGCUUUACAAUUGGCUUUCAUUUAACAUCAAGAAAUGCAUAACUCAAGCUUCAAAAAAACAAAUUAAAAUGUUAGAAGCAAAAUGGUUUUCACCUCAACAGAACUUGAUUUUGAAAAAAAGAGUUGAAUUUCGAGAUAUUUUAGUUUAACUCAAACAUUUUCUAUUGUUUUUGUCAAAAUUAAAAGUAGAAUCAAACAACACCAGAAUCCAAACAUAUUUGUUCAGUUGAUAUUUGAGAAAUUUCAGAAAACUCAAAAACCUCUGCCAUUGUUUGUUUGAUAACUCAAAAACAUUCAAUGAAACAUAGCCAUGUGCAUUAAAGUCAAUAGGAAAAGUUGCAAAAAAAUAGGAAAAUUUUCAAGCUUCAAUUACUUUUUGAAGAGAUAGCGGUGGACCAAAAAAGGUUAUUGAGUCAUGAUGGAAAUACUAUUAAUUCAGUUGAAAAGUAUAUAUCUUAUGCUAAAUGAGUGCUGCUUAUUUCUUCAAAUGUAACUUCUAGCAUAACUUUCUCUUGAUUCAUCCAGCCAUCUAUAUUAAUUGACACUGAAGAAAUUGAUUAAGGUACAAUAUAGUGU